rnacentral:ncRNA from 1 species
AAAAGGGGUGCCUCAUAGAGGCUGAGAUCAAACCCUAUGAACUUGAUACGGCUAAUACCGUCGAAAGGAGCGAAA